GGGGGGGGGGCUUACCCUGCAAGUCGAGCGGAAACGAGUUAUCUGAACCUUCAGGGGAACGAUAACGGCGUCGAGCGGCGGACGGGUGAGUAAUGCCUAGGAAAUUGCCCUGAUGUGGGGGAUAACCAUUGGAAACGAUGGCUAAUACCGCAUGAUGCCUACGGGCCAAAGAGGGGGACCUUCGGGCCUCUCGCGUCAGGAUAUGCCUAGGUGGGAUUAGCUAGUUGGUGAGGUAAGGGCUCACCAAGGCGACGAUCCCUAGCUGGUCUGAGAGGAUGAUCAGCCACACUGGAACUGAGACACGGUCCAGACUCCUACGGGAGGCAGCAGUGGGGAAUAUUGCACAAUGGGCGCAAGCCUGAUGCAGCCAUGCCGCGUGUGUGAAGAAGGCCUUCGGGUUGUAAAGCACUUUCAGUCGUGAGGAAGGUAGUGUAGUUAAUAGCUGCAUUAUUUGACGUUAGCGACAGAAGAAGCACCGGCUAACUCCGUGCCAGCAGCCGCGGUAAUACGGAGGGUGCGAGCGUUAAUCGGAAUUACUGGGCGUAAAGCGCAUGCAGGUGGUUUGUUAAGUCAGAUGUGAAAGCCCGGGGCUCAACCUCGGAAUAGCAUUUGAAACUGGCAGACUAGAGUACUGUAGAGGGGGGUAGAAUUUCAGGUGUAGCGGUGAAAUGCGUAGAGAUCUGAAGGAAUACCGGUGGCGAAGGCGGCCCCCUGGACAGAUACUGACACUCAGAUGCGAAAGCGUGGGGAGCAAACAGGAUUAGAUACCCUGGUAGUCCACGCCGUAAACGAUGUCUACUUGGAGGUUGUGGCCUUGAGCCGUGGCUUUCGGAGCUAACGCGUUAAGUAGACCGCCUGGGGAGUACGGUCGCAAGAUUAAAACUCAAAUGAAUUGACGGGGGCCCGCACAAGCGGUGGAGCAUGUGGUUUAAUUCGAUGCAACGCGAAGAACCUUACCUACUCUUGACAUCCAGAGAACUUUCCAGAGAUGGAUUGGUGCCUUCGGGAACUCUGAGACAGGUGCUGCAUGGCUGUCGUCAGCUCGUGUUGUGAAAUGUUGGGUUAAGUCCCGCAACGAGCGCAACCCUUAUCCUUGUUUGCCAGCGAGUAAUGUCGGGAACUCCAGGGAGACUGCCGGUGAUAAACCGGAGGAAGGUGGGGACGACGUCAAGUCAUCAUGGCCCUUACGAGUAGGGCUACACACGUGCUACAAUGGCGCAUACAGAGGGCGGCCAACUUGCGAAAGUGAGCGAAUCCCAAAAAGUGCGUCGUAGUCCGGAUUGGAGUCUGCAACUCGACUCCAUGAAGUCGGAAUCGCUAGUAAUCGUGGAUCAGAAUGCCACGGUGAAUACGUUCCCGGGCCUUGUACACACCGCCCGUCACACCAUGGGAGUGGGCUGCAAAAGAAGUAGGUAGUUUAACCUUCGGCGGGGACAGCUUACCCACUUGGGGUCCC
rnacentral:rRNA from 1 species